UUCAAACCUUUAAGGAUAAAAACAAUUAUUUACAUAUGUUUUGUGUUUCCAGAUUUGACUCCCAAAUAAGUAUAAUUCAUAUCCUGCUGGGUCUGGAUCCCAUGAGGAGAGGUCUGUGAAAUGCAGAUGGGUGAGAGUGUGAAGAAAUGAAGAGAAAAGACUGGGAGAAAAAAAAAGAGAAGGGAAGGAUAGCUAUCAAGCAAGUCCUGCUGUAAUACAAAGAGGAAGGAACAGCAGCAUCAAGCAGUGUAGCAGGUAUCUCCCAUCACCCACUCAAGCAAAGUUUCUUAAACAUCAACUGUAUAUCAA
rnacentral:lncRNA from 1 species